rnacentral:rRNA from 1 species
GAUUUAUUGGGUUUAAAGGGUCCGUAGGCGGAUCUGUAAGUCAGUGGUGAAAUCUCAUAGCUUAACUAUGAAACUGCCAUUGAUACUGCAGGUCUUGAGUAAGGUAGAAGUAGCUGGAAUAAGUAGUGUAGCGGUGAAAUGCAUAGAUAUUACUUAGAACACCAAUUGCGAAGGCAGGUUACUAUGUCUUAACUGACGCUGAUGGACGAAAGCGUGGGGAGCGAACAGGAUUAGAUACCCUGGUAGUCCACGCUGUAAACGAUGCUAACUCGUUUUUGGGUUUUCGGAUUCAGAGACUAAGCGAAAGUGAUAAGUUAGCCACCUGGGGAGUACGAACGCAAGUUUGAAACUCAAGGGAAUUGACGGGGGCCCGCACAAGCGGUGGAUUAUGUGGUUUAAUUCGAUGAUACGCGAGGAACCUUACCAAGACUUAAAUGGGAAUUGACAGAUUUAGAAAUAGAUCCUCCUUCGGGCAAUUUUCAAGGUGCUGCAUGGUUGUCGUCAGCUCGUGCCGUGAGGUGUUAGGUUAAGUCCUGCAACGAGCGCAACCCCUGUCACUAGUUGCCAUCAUUCAGUUGGGGACUCUAGUGAGACUGCCUACGCAAGUAGAGAGGAAGGUGGGGAUGACGUCAAAUCAUCACGGCCCUUACGUCUUGGGCCACACACGUAAUACAAUGGCCGGUACAGAGGGCAGCUACACAGCGAUGUGAUGCAAAUCUCGAAAGCCGGUCUCAGUUCGGAUUGGAGUCUGCAACUCGACUCUAUGAAGCUGGAAUCGCUAGUAAUCGCGCAUCAGCCAUGGCGCGGUGAAUACGUUCCC